UGCGCAGUGGCAUUUUGCGCAGUGCGGUGAAAGUUCAUGGAAGAAGGUUUUGGCGCGUGAGGGGCUGGUUGACUCGCUCGGUAUGAACGGUUACGGUCAGUGAGUGCCAGACCCGGUAUCUGGGUUUAAAAAGAGUGCCAAUUGAUUUCAAACACAUUGGAGUUGUAGAGGGUUGUGCUGAUUUUGAACUGAGACGUGCUUUUCUUUAAAAAAAAUAACAACACACUAAGAAGAUUUGGUGCAAGUGAAGAAAAUAGCAAGUAAAGCCAAGUUAGCGGCCGUUUUAGUUUUUGAAGAUGUCUGAACUUGAUCAUGGCAAAUAUCCAGAAGACAGAAUCCUUUCACUGAAAGAGAAAUUGAUUUGUAGGGAUCUUCAGAUUUUAUCUCUGCAAUCAAUACUGGGAGAGCCUCACCAUUAUAGUUAUCCAUCUGUUUUUGUGUAUGGACAUACUGCCACAGGGAAAACUUAUGUGACAGAAACAUUGCUGAAGACAUUGAAGUUUCCUCACGUGAUUGUGAACUGUGUGGAAUGUUUUUCUUCAAGGAUGCUUUUUGAACAAAUACUUAAUCAGCUGCAGGGUCAUUCGCUAUCCCUCAAGAAUGAAUAUACUUCAUGUCUGCAGUCUAACACAUUCAAUGAAUUUGUUCUACUUUAUAAGCAAGUGGUCCACAAGCAGAAUUUGCACAAUCAAACUGUCUACAUUGUGUUGGAUAAAGCAGAACGUUUGAGGGAAAUGGAUUCCAACCUGUUGCCUGGAUUUCUGAGGUUUCAAGAAUUGGCUGAAGAAAAUGCAACUGUUAUUUUCCUUAGUGAGAUUGUUUGGGAGAAAUUUCGGCCAGGUACAGGCUGCUUUGAGCCCUUAAUUUUGCAUUUUCCUGACUAUAACAAAGCUGAUCUCCAGAAAAUUCUUUCACAAGACCAUCCUCCAGAAUUCUCUGCAGAUUUUUAUGCUACUUAUAUUAACAUUCUGCUUGGAGUGUUCUACCCUGUCUGUCGAGACUUAAAAGAGCUACGACAUCUAGCUGCACUAAAUUUUCCAAAGUUCUGUGAACCUGUUCAAAGAGGAGAUGCCAAAGAAGAGGAUACUCGACGGCUGUGGCGAAACAUUGAACCACAUCUGAAAAAAGCAAUGGAAACGGUUUAUUUACGAGAAAUCUCAAGUUCUCAGUGGGAGAGGCUGCAGCAAGAAGAUAAAGAAGGUGAACAUCUGAAAGGACUUUCCAUGCAUGCACAUGUUGAACUUCCAUUUUACUCCAAAUUCCUGCUGAUUGCAGCCUACCUCUCCUCCUACAAUCCUGCUAGAACAGACAAAAGGUUUUUCUCAAAGUAUCAUGGGAAAAUUAAGAAAACCUCAUUUCUGAAAAAGCAUGAGAAGACCAGCAAUCACCUCCUUGGCCCCAAACCAUUCCCACUGGAUAGGUUGUUGGCAAUUUUCUACAGCAUUGUCGAUUGCAGAGUGACUCCCACGGCAAAUAUUUUUUCUCAGAUUACUUCCCUAGUGGCACUUCAACUGUUAACCCAUGUCGGCCAUGAUGAUCAGCUGAAUGGACCAAAGUAUAAAUGCACGACAAGUCUGGAUUUCAUCACAGCAAUUGCCAGCAGCCCUGUGCUUUUUCCUGGUUGCUGAAUACAAGAUAGUCAAACCCCCUACGUACGCCCUGGAGGUCUCUCAAAGCACCAACUGAUUACUGACUGCACCUGAAUUGAUGUCUUAGAAGAUCCCAAACUCCCCUUGUGAGGACGGUGAAUUUUGAUAUAGUGAGAUACUUGUAUGAUUUCUUGUGAGACCAAAUACAGCCAUAUGAUACUGCAAGCAAUGAUCACUGCUUUUGCACCGAUUGAUACUGAUUCAUCCACUCCACUGAGAAGUGACAAACAUUUUGGCUGCAUUUGAUUUGUCCAAGCAGGUGUUAGCACAGUAUGGAAUCUGAUAGCAAUAUCUUGAUUGGUCAGAAUGGAUCUUUAAAAUGAACUAUUUACCAGGAAUCUUCAGUAUUUUGGAGCUAAGUGUUAAUUAUGAGCAGCAGGAAUUCAGCGCAAUCUGUUACAACGCAAUAACAAUAUAUUAGCACAAAAGGCACCUGAAAUAUAUUUAUUUUCAAUUAUUUUCCUUUAUGAAGUAUCCUUUUCUCAGAAUAUAGUGUGGUAGCCAUUAUGUGUGACUAACCUUCCAAUUUUAUUAACUCUCUGCUGUAAUAUUUUGUAGCCCUUAUUAAUUUUGUUUUGAAUCCUCUUUAGUGUACAAAAUAAAUGAAUAUAAUGC